rnacentral:rRNA from 1 species
UCAAGCUACAUAGGGCACAUGAAGGAUGCCUUGGCAUCAGCAGGCGAAGAAGGACGUGGCAAGCUGCGAUAAGCCUCGGGGAGCUGCAUACAAGCUUUAAUCCGGGGAUUUCCGAAUGGAGCAAUCCAGCAGAAGUAAUGUUCUGUUAUCUGCAACUGAAUACAUAGGUUGCAGAGGCGAUACUCAGUGAAGUGAAACAUCUCAGUAACUGAAGGAAUAGAAAUCAACCGAGAUUCCGCAAGUAGUGGCGAACGAACGCGGAAUAGCCUAAACCGGCAGGUUUACCUGUCGGGGUUGCGGGACUUAGAUAUGACAUGCGGCCGGUUAGCACAACCGUCUGGGAAGUCGGGCCAUAGAGGGUGACAGCCCCCUGUGCGAAAACUGAAAGCAGUCUAUAAGUAUCCCAAGUAGGUCGGCACACGUGAAACUCCGACUGAAUCCGGGGAGACCACUCUCCAAGGCUAAAUACUAGCUGAUGACCGAUAGUGAAACAGUACCGCGAGGGAAAGGUGAAAAAGUACCCCGGAAGGGGAGUGAAAAGUAUCUGAAAUCAUGUGCCUGCAAAGUGUGGGAGCCCUUCUGGGGUGACCGCAUGCCUUUUGCAUAAUGAGCUUGCGACUUACUUUAAGCAGCCAGGUUAAGCCAUAGGCGGAGCCGAAGCGAAAGCGAGUGUUAAUAGCGCGUCAAGUUGCUUGAAGUAGACCCGAAGCUGAGUGAUCUAUCCAUGGUCAGGUUGAACCUCCGGUAACACGGAGUGGAGGACCGAACCGGUGAGCGUUGAAAAGCUUUCGGAUGAACUGUGGAUAGGAGCGAAAGACCAAUCAAACUCAGUGAUAGCUGGUUCUCUUCGAAAUAUCUUGAGGGAUAGCCUUACGCCAUUGACUUACGGGGGUAGAGCACUGAUUGUCCGCGGGUCCUUACCGGGAUACCAACGACUGUCAAACUUCGAAUACCGUUAAGUUUUACCGUAGGAGUCAGACUGUGGGGGAUAAGCUUCAUAGUCGAGAGGGAAACAACCCAGAUCGCCGUCUAAGGUCCCUAAUUUAAGCUAAGUGGUUUGAAGGAUGUGAAGUUGCGUAAACAACCAGGAUGUUGGCUUAGAGGCAGCCAUCAUUUAAAGAUCGCGUAAUAGCGCACUGGUCGAGUGAUUUUGCGCCGAAGAUGAUCGGGACUAAGCUUAAAACCGAAGACGCGGAUGUACAGCAAUGUACGUGGUAGAAGAGCGUUGUAUGAGGAGCGAAGCGUGAAUGAGAAUGAGCGUGGACUUCAUACAAGUGACCAUGCAAGCAUGAGUAGCGAAAAACCGGAUGGAAAUUCCGGUCACCGUAAGACCAAGGUUUCCCGGGGAAGGUUCGUCCGCCCGGGGUUAGCCGGAUCCUAAGGCCAGGCCGAAAGGCGUAGUCGAUGGACAACGGGUUAAUAUUCCCGUGCCGCCUUAACGGAGUGACGGAGUGACGCAGUAUGCUAAGCGAGCUGGCUAUAUGCCAGUCUAAUGUCGUAGGACGUCAGGGGUUAAAUGACCUGACAUCAAGUCUGAAAACGGAUGGGACUCGAAGCCUUCGGGUAACGGGGAUUCGCUGAUGCUUUGCUGACGAGAAAAGCUCCUAAACGUUGAUGUUUUGGCGUCCGUACCGUAAACCGACACAGGUGGUCGAGGCGAGUAGCCUAAGGUGCGCGAGUGAAACCACUUCAAGGAACUCGGCAAAUUAGCCCCGUAACUUUGGGAGAAGGGGUGCCGAACGGGUGCAUAGCCCGGACGGUUUCAACAAAGAGGCCGCGGCGACUGUUUAACAAAAACAUAGCUCUCUGCUAACUCGCAAGAGGAUGUAUAGGGAGUGACACGUGACCAAUGCCGAAAGGUCAAUCGGAUCCGUUAGCAGCAAUGCGAAGCGGUGAUGUGAAGCCCCGGUGAAUGUCGGCCGUAACUAUAACGGUCCUAAGGUAGCGAAAUUCCUUGUC